rnacentral:rRNA from 1 species
AGUGAACGCUGGCGGUAGGCCUAACACAUGCAAGUCGAACGGCAGCACAGUAAGAGCUUGCUCUUACGGGUGGCGAGUGGCGGACGGGUGAGGAAUACAUCGGAAUCUACUUUUUCGUGGGGGAUAACGUAGGGAAACUUACGCUAAUACCGCAUACGACCUACGGGUGAAAGCAGGGGAUCUUCGGACCUUGCGCGAUUGAAUGAGCCGAUGUCGGAUUAGCUAGUUGGCGGGGUAAAGGCCCACCAAGGCGACGAUCCGUAGCUGGUCUGAGAGGAUGAUCAGCCACACUGGAACUGAGACACGGUCCAGACUCCUACGGGAGGCAGCUGUGGGGAAUAUUGGACAAAGGGCGCAAGCCUGAUCCAGCCAUACCGCGUGGGUGAAGAAGGCCUUCGGGUUGUAAAGCCCUUUUGUUGGGAAAGAAAAGCAGCAGGUUAAUACCCCGCUGUUCUGACGGUACCCAAAGAAUAAGCACCGGCUAACUUCGUG